rnacentral:rRNA from 1 species
UACCAGCACCCCGAGUGGUCGGGACGAUUAUUGGGCCUAAAGCAUCCGUAGCCGGUUCUGCAAGUCUUCCGUUAAAUCCACCUGCUUAACAGAUGGGCUGCGGAGGAUACUACAAGGCUAGGAGGCGGAAGAGGCAAGCGGUACUCAGUGGGUAGGGGUAAAAUCCUCUGAUCCAUUGAAGACCACCAGUGGCGAAGGCGGCUUGCCAAUACGCGCUCGACGGUGAGGGAUGAAAGCUGGGGGAGCAAACCGG